rnacentral:rRNA from 1 species
CGAACGGGUGAGUAACACGUGAGUAACCUGCCCUUGACUCUGGGAUAAGCCUGGGAAACUGGGUCUAAUACCGGAUAUGACUCCUCAUCGCAUGGUGGGGGGUGGAAAGCUUUUUUGUGGUUUUGGAUGGACUCGCGGCCUAUCAGCUUGUUGGUGAGGUAAUGGCUCACCAAGGCGACGACGGGUAGCCGGCCUGAGAGGGUGACCGGCCACACUGGGACUGAGACACGGCCCAG